UACGUAGGGGGCUAGCGUUGUCCGGAUUUAUUGGGCGUAAAGAGCGUGUAGGCGGCCAGGUAGGUCUGGUGUGAAAACUCGAGGCUUAACCUCGAGAUGUCAUCGGAAACCAUCUGGCUAGAGUCCGGAAGAGGAGAGUGGAAUUCCUGGUGUAGCGGUGAAAUGCGCAGAUAUCAGGAAGAACACCAAUGGCGAAAGCAGCGCUCUGGGACGGUACUGACGCUGAGACGCGAAAGCGUGGGGAGCGAACAGG
rnacentral:rRNA from 1 species